GAUGAACGCUGGCGGCGCGCCUAACACAUGCAAGUCGAACGAUUAAAGCACCUUCGGGUGUGUAUAAAGUGGCGAACGGCUGAGUAACACGUGGGCAACCUGCCCCUCUCAUUGGGAUAGCCACGGGAAACCGUGGAUAAUACCGAAUACUUCGAGACUUCCGCAUGGAAGACUCGAGAAAGCUCCGGCGGAGAGGGAUGGGCCCGCGGCCUGUUAGCUUGUUGGUGGGGUAACGGCCUACCAAGGCAAUGAUGGGUAGCUGGGUUGAGAGACCGACCAGCCAGAUUGGGACUGAGACACGGCCCAGACUCCUACGGGAGGCAGCAGUGGGGAAUCUUGCACAAUGGGCGAAAGCCUGAUGCAGCGACGCCGCGUGCGGGAUGAAGGCCUUCGGGUUGUAAACCGCUUUCAGCAGGGACGAGGCGAAAGUGACGGUACCUGCAGAAG
rnacentral:rRNA from 2 species